rnacentral:rRNA from 1 species
UACGUAGGGGGCAAGCGUUGUUCGGAAUUACUGGGCGUAAAGGGCGCGUAGGCGGCUUAUCAAGUCAGGCGUGAAAUUCCCGGGCUCAACCUGGGGGCUGCGCUUGAUACUGAUGAGCUUGAAUGCGGGAGAGGAUAGUGGAAUUCCCAGUGUAGAGGUGAAAUUCGUAGAUAUUGGGAAGAACACCAGUGGCGAAGGCGGCUAUCUGGCCCGUAAUUGACGCUGAGGCGCGAAAGCGUGGGGAGCAAACAGG